rnacentral:rRNA from 1 species
UACGGAGGGUGCAAGCGUUAUCCGGAUUCACUGGGUUUAAAGGGUGCGUAGGCGGGCAGGUAAGUCAGUGGUGAAAUCUCCGGGCUUAACCCGGAAACUGCCGUUGAUACUAUCUGUCUUGAAUAUCGUGGAGGUAAGCGGAAUAUGUCAUGUAGCGGUGAAAUGCUUAGAUAUGACAUAGAACACCCAUUGCGAAGGCAGCUUACUACACGAUCAUUGACGCUGAGGCACGAAAGCGUGGGGGGCAAACAGG